UUGGUGUGCGUGACUCCUCGCACAUCUCCAGAAAUGAAUUUCCUGACAUUUUGCUCUUAAACAAAAUGUAUAUGUGUUACCCGUCAAAAGCAGGUGAUUUGUACGUUCUGAGAUUCACGGGUUCUAGGAGCUGAUCUUCAGCAAUAAUGCUUGAUGGGCCAUUAGAGACAAGAUUUACUUGGUAUUUGUCCUUUUUCCAAAUCUGCACAUUUAUUUAAAACAGCGUCCCGGGCUCUCGGUUGAGGAAUGGUCUCAGACCCAGCUGCCGCACACCGGGGCCCCUGCCAAACACCGAUGGUUCACAAGGUGAGGGGAUCCAGGGGAGGGAAGCGAGUGGAGUGAGAGGUGGGCGAGGGGCCCGUGGCGUUCUGCCGUGCAGAACGUGGUGUGAACACACAGAAAGCAGGUGGAGGAGAGAAAAGGGGGCAAAACUCUUUGCGUCCCUCAGUUUGCAGAGCUGUUUCCUCAGUCCGUCCUCCCCCAGCUGGUGAGUCGCGGGGCGGGCUGCAUCCGGUCCAGCGGGACGAAGAAGGAAGCGGGAUGAGCGAGGUGUGGUCUAGAGCCCCGUGGACGUGGGUCGGUGGUGACCUUUGAGUCCCACAUGGUCCCCAGUCCCUCUGGGAGCCAGCAGGGAGCCAGGUUGUCCUCCGGGCCAUAGGCACGCUGGUAAGUGGGGACUUCCACACCAGGAGAGUGCAGUCUGACGGUCUGGCUGCAGGCUGAGGUCAGAGCCAUGACUUAGUGGCUGGAGGCCCGCGUCUGAGCUGGGCUCUGCUCUGCUAACCCCCAAGUCCCCUCGAUGCUCUGAUUCUGUUCUUGUUCCCGGAAGGAAGGGGCUGGGCCAGUCGGCGCCCGAGGGCCUCACAGGCCAUGGAAACUUCUGAUUUGUCCUUCCCCCCACCGGCCUUUCCUCCUGGUGCACACACGUCCCCAGCUCGGGGACAGCUGGCUGCCCUGGUUUUCCCUCCUCGCUGCCCGUUCCUCACCCUCCACCGGCCUCUCCUCACCUCUGGGACUAGCGCUUUGGCCGGCCGGGCCGCCCCACCCCGUCUCCCAGGUUGUGGUGUCGCUCAGACGGGGGCUCACAGGCCCUCCCUCCGGCUCACACCCAGCCCGAACCCACCUACCCUCUGUGUAUGCUACCACCUGUCCCAGAGCCCUUGGCUUUGUGCCGGGAACCGAGCUCCCGACCUUCCCGCCUCCCCGGUGGGGCCGCCUCAUCCUUCUGGAGCCUCAGCCCCUGCGGUGACCCCGACUCCUCUCUGUCUGUCACACGGAACCCGGCGGGACGGGCUUCACCCCGUGACCACCCUGGCCGGCUGGGCCCACUGCUGCCUCCGGCCGCAUCCCUUUCCACUGUGCUCUGCGCGGCACACGGCAGAGGGAGUCUCCCCGAAAAGAGGAGUCAGUGAGACAUCGAUGCUCCACGUCCCCAGGUGGUCUGCACUUGGUGUCAACACCCAGCCCCUUGGAGCGGCCCGGAGCCCCUAACGCUGUGGCCCCCCUUCCUCCCUGACCCCGCCCCCGAGCUCGCGCCCCAGCCCACCUUCGGGGCGUCCGCGUGCCUGGCCAUCUGCGGGUAGCCCCGCCCCCAGAUGUGUCCGCAGCUCUAUCCCCCGCCCCCCAGGCUUCCCCCCCGGGGGACACUGCCGGUGCCCGUUCCGGCCCGUCUCACACCUCAGGCCGCCCCGUGCACCCCUGGUCCUCACCCCUCUACAGCGUCUCCACAGCACGCGUUACCUCGGCACAAACACUGUAGCUUUCCCGUUCGUCUGGUCUGUGCUGUGUAUCACAAACCACACAGGGCGGAGUCUUGUCGUGACCACUCACGAAUCAGACAGGAGGAAAAUAUCCCGGGCUCUUGGGUUGGCUGCUGACGUCGGGUGUGGUGACGGGGCAGCGACCGCAGCAGGAGGAUGAGGUGUAACAGCUGUCUCCUCAAAGGCUUGCUGUGGAUAUUGUACGAGGUCACCGGCGAAGCGGGCGGAGGGCUGCCCAUGGCCAGUGCCCAGUGAGGGUCGGUGCUCACGUUAUCCGGGAACCGGGGGUGUGAAUCGCCGGGAUUAACUCAGAGCCACAAGCAGAUGCUACUGAAGGUCACGGUUGGCGCAGCGUCCGCAGGUGGGAACAGCAGCCCAGGCCCUGAGGGCUGGGAGUUGCGGGGACUCGAGGCCCCAAAAGGCAGGACAGGCAGAGUGUGGCUGGUGAACAGACACUGCUUGCUGGGCAGACCUGUGGCCUCGGGGCCUGACACGGAGGCCCCCGGAGAAGGAGCGGUGGCCCAUCCCUUCAGCUCUCUAGGGUCACUGGUGCGGCUUGAAGAAGAUCUGUGUCCUCGUGAGGGCAAGGGUACCUUCUUUUGGGCAAAUCCAGAUUCCUCUGAGCAAACGCGGUGGUGUUACUUCCCUGAAGGACGCAAAACCUCAGUGUGGACAGCGACCCAGGAAGCCCCUCGGUCGCUUCUCUGGCCCCUCCCUUUGCAUGGCGUCCGUCCGGAGGACAGUUCCUGUGGGGAAGAGAAACCACCCAGAGGGGGCUCAGGUCACAGAUUGAGGCUGGCCUGCACUUGGGGCCACUUGCCGGUCAGCUGCACGGAGACACCUCCUCCCUCACUUCUGGGGCGGUGACAGCCCCCAGCGCUCACUGGCCUCCCUCCUGGAGGACGACGAGUGUCCGGAUCCAGUGGCACCUGCAGGCGCUAAUAAAGCGAUCCGAGGUGACCCGGAUCUUGGUCCUUUGAA